rnacentral:lncRNA from 1 species
CCAGCUCACACUCUGUGGAGCUCAGAUGCACCAGUCUGAACUCCCUCGAGGCAGAGAGCCCUGGCCUCUGCACUUGCACACUGACUCACGCAGAGCCUGGGGCUGCCUGGGCCUGAUGGAGCUGGCAGGCAGGGACUGUCUUUUUCCUGGAGGACUUCCUGGUGGAGGCCUGCUGCAGUUGGAGGCCUGAAGCACAGCGGACAGCCCCAGGCGUGUGUGGCACACCCAACACCCCCAUCCUUCCCAUGAGCCAGGACAUGGCCCGGGGGGCCUCUCUCCGAGGGAAGUGUGCCACCAUCAGGACGUGGGGUUCAGGAAGCAGCCCAGGCUGAAUGGAGGAGAAUGGAGGCAGGAAGGCCAGGAAGAAGUUGAAGCUGCCUUCCCAGCGACAGGCUCCCGCCCGGCCACGUUCCUCAUGCAGGCGUUUGGAAGCCCCGCGGCACCCGGUGGGUGAAGACAAGCUGUGUCGUUUGUGCCUUGGCGGCGGCCGCUCUCCAACCCCCAUGGCCCGGCCCCUCCCCAGCCCGGCCGCCCGUCCACAGCUCCAGACCCGGGGUCAACCACUUGUGCCAAGGAGCCUGAGAUCCCAGCCCAUGCCCAGCCAGUCAGAGUUCUAUUUCAGCUGACCGGGGCUACAGGGAGGCCAAGAAAGAGACCCUCCUCACCUGCCGCCGCCUCACACCCCACCGUGUAUCCUGCGGCCCAGACCCCAGCAAAGGAGGGCACAGGGCUGGCCUGGGGUGGACUGGGGUGGACCCUGCCAGUGGCUGCUGACCUCCCAGGCCACCUGGGCUUUCCUGGCCUGCGCAGUCUCCCGGAACUGCUUCCGCUGGCCCAGGGCCUGGGAGUGCCCCACACUCGGGCAGGGCCCUGGCAGCCGAAGGGAGGGUCUUUCUGAGCCAGUGGCUUUGGGACGUGCAGGGAAGGGGCUGGCGUACCGAGGUCACACUGAGUCUCCCUUCACCACGAGACAGGAGAGGCCUCCCUGAUGGUGGCUCUGGACUCAGGGCUGAGGCAGCUAUGCAGGAUGGCUGGAGCUCUGCGGUGCUCACUGUGGCCAGAUGCCACCAGGUAGUGGCGGGCAUCAGCCGGGCAGUUGCUGGUGUCAUGAAGAUAUCAGCCCACCUCCAUCCACCUGCCCAGGCCUGUCCGGGUUGGGCGUCCCCAGAGCCCUAGGCUGAGGCUGAGGCACCUGGGGCUGUGCCGCUCCCCUCCCCGCCCCGUUCCAGCCGGGGCCUGCCUUACCCUCCCUGCCCCAGGGAUGGUUUCUGGCAGGGAACGCAGUGUCCUCUGAGACCCGUCAGGUCCCAACAGAUGGGAGCGCUGUUCCCUCCCACAGCCCAUGCCCAGUGGCCCCAAGUGGGCCCUCAGCUUCCUCUUCUGGCUCUCAGACCAGCACAGCACGCGGCAGGUGCCCACGAGGUCCAACUGGGCUCCCUCAAGCCUUCUGCCCUCUCGCCUUGCUGCCCGCUGUCCCCACUGGCUCUUUCCUGUCACCCUCCUGCCCCCCACAUCACCCCC